rnacentral:misc_RNA from 1 species
GUUUAAUGCUGUCGGAUAAUGUCUUUCCAGAACAGAAACUUUGCGCGUUGCCUGCCAUAGUACGAGAUUGUGUGCUUUUUUUUAGUGUUAUUUCAUAUUUUUUAUUUAGUGUUUUUUUUUGGUUAUGGAACUACAGAACCGAAAGGAAAGUAGCUUUAUUUAUGAUAAUUAACCUAUGUUACAUUAAGUAUUGAAACACGUUUCUUUUGUACACGUAAAUUCUUUCUUGUACAUGGUAUUUCGCAGUAUCGGAAAAUCCGGACUUGGAUUAGAUUUGGGUCACAGUCUAUUCUUCGGUCGAUUUGUUUGGAUGUCCUUCAAAAAACCAUAUUUUCCAUCGUUUAUCGAAAAAUUUCCAAUUAGUUCGAAGAGAUCACCUUUGUUUGUCCAUAAUUGGAUGAAUCUAAAUGGAAUGUUCAUAGACGUUCACGAGUAUUUCACUUUCACGGUGUCCCACUUAUAAGAAAAAGAAUUGUGAAAAUCUAAAAGCUUCGGGAAUGGUUUCACACAUUACAUUCAUUGAGGAUUUUACCUUUUCUCAACAACGUGCAGGAAUGAAAGGAUAUUUACUCGAUGCAAAGACACAGAGAAAGAAACUAGAAACACAGAACAUGGCGGAAGAUAAUGUACCAUGUAAUUUGAUAAUGCAUAAUCGAUGAAACAAAAAAGAUAUGGCGAAAGAAUAGAGGAUGAAUCAGUAAUUAAUUUCCAUAGUGAUGGGUUAUGGACAUGAAUUUUUACGAUGACUAACGGGUAAUUCGGAAAAAUAAGAGAUAACGGAAGAAUUGACAAAACGUAUACAAAAACGACUGAUUCUAUCAUGGAAGAUAUGACUCAGGUAUUCUCAUUAUAGUCGCUUGUCAACUUAGAUGUCUCCAUAUUUGAGAACAGCAAUUUUCAAUAUAUAUCCAGAUCUUUGUGAAAUUUCAAGCUGGAAAUUUUAUGAGCACCAGAUAUUGUUGAAAUGUAGAUUUUCUAUAGGAAUUCUGUAACAAAUAUACAAGACAAUAUAAAGGAAUCUGCUGCCGUCAAAAUAAGAAUUUCCUGUUAGAACUGAAAAAAUAGAAACGGAGGAUCAUAAAAUAUACACAGAGUCGUAACAAUAUAUCAUGAAAAAAGUGCUGCUUAUUAUCAUACUAUGACUUCCAUGUAGCUAAAUUAUAAAACGUCAGACGAAUUUUAUCCAUGCAUAUGGUGUUAUUUCAGUUGAAAAAAAAAAAUGAAAUAUGCUACAUUUUAAUAAUUUCAAUAAUUGGGAUUAUCAUGCUGAAAUGUCUGGAAUUAUAUAAAGAUUAACGAUUCUAAACUCACAAACCUCUCCGACUAUUCCGAAAAGGAAAAGAAAUACUCGUUUACUAUCGAUGUAUGAUCGCACGAAAAAAUCAAACAUAACUCCGAUUUUUGAUUGUAGAUGAAAAUCACAAAGAAAGAACAUCAUAGGUCACAUUUCCUACGUUUUACAGGAAACGAAUUCUAACAUUACCAAAAUUGUGUUUGUGUUCAAAAAACAGUGCUCGUCACAAUAUUCCAGUAUCAGAAAGAUAUUAAAAUAUUGCUUGUGUUAAUAAUUAUACAAAUUAUUCGUUCGCAAUUACAUCUUCUGUGUACUAAUAACGCAAUGUACCACAUUAAUAUGAUAUUUUCAGUAAAACCACAUAUUAUGUCUGUC